rnacentral:rRNA from 1 species
UACGAAGGGUGCAAGCGUUACUCGGAAUUACUGGGCGUAAAGCGUGCGUAGGUGGUUUGUUAAGUCUGUUGUGAAAGCCCCGGGCUCAACCUGGGAAUGGCAAUGGAUACUGGCAAGCUAGAGUGCGGUAGAGGGUAGUGGAAUUCCCGGUGUAGCGGUGAAAUGCGUAGAGAUCGGGAGGAACACCAGUGGCGAAGGCGGCUACCUGGACCAAUAUUGACGCUGAGGAGCGAAAGCCAGGGGAGCAAACGGG